rnacentral:tRNA from 1 species
AAUAAGAUAGGCUAAAUUAAAGCUGUUGGGUUCAUGCCCCGAAAAUGAAUUAUACUAUUCUCUUAUUA